GAAAUGCGAUACGUAAUGUGAAUUGCAGAAUUCAGUGAAUCAUCGAAUCUUUGAACGCACCUUGCGCUCCUUGGUAUUCCUUGGAGCAUGCCUGUUUGAGUAUCAUGUAAUCUUCAAAGUAAAUCUUUUGUUAACUCAAUUGGUUUCUACUUUGGUAUUGGAGGUCUUUGCAGCUUCACACCUGCUCCUCUUUGUUCAUUAGCUGGAUCUCAGUGUUAUGCUUGGUUCCACUCGGCGUGAUAAGUUAUCUAUCGCUGAGGACACUGUAAAAGGUGGCCAAGGUAAAUGCAGAUGAACCGCUUCUAAUAGUCCAUUGACUUGGACAAUACUUUUAUGAUCUGAUCUCAAAUCAGGUAGGACUACCCGCUGAACUUAAGC
rnacentral:misc_RNA from 1 species